rnacentral:tRNA from 1 species
GCCCAGGUGGUGAAAUGGUAGACACGCCAGUUUCAGGUACUGGUGCCGCAAGGUGUGGGGGUUCGAGUCCCCCCUUGGGCA